UGGGUAACCUGCCUCAAAGAGGGGAAUAGCCUCCCGAAAGGGAGAUUAAUACCGCAUAAUAUGUUUAGGUCGCAUGACUUUAACAUCAAAGGAUUUUCUUUUAGAAAUUUCACUUUGAGAUGGACCCGCGGCGCAUUAGCUAGUUGGUGAGGUAACGGCUCACCAAGGCAACGAUGCGUAGCCGACCUGAGAGGGUGAUCGGCCUCAUUGGAACUGAGACACGGUCCAGACUCCUAGGGAGG
rnacentral:rRNA from 1 species